rnacentral:misc_RNA from 1 species
GAAAUGCGAUAAGUAAUGUGAAUUGCAGAAUUCAGUGAAUCAUCGAAUCUUUGAACGCACCUUGCACUCCUUGGUAUUCCUUGGAGCAUGCCUGUUUGAGUAUCAUGAAAUCUUCAAAGUAAAUCUUUUGUUAACUCAAUUGGUUUCUACUUUGGUAUUGGAGGUCUUUGCAGCUUCACACCUGCUCCUCUUUGUUCAUUAGCUGGAUCUCAGUGUUAUGCUUGGUUCCACUCGGCGUGAUAAGUUGUCUAUCGCUGAGGACACUGUAAAAGGUGGCCAAGGUAAAUGCAGAUGAACCGCUUCUAAUAGUCCAUUGACUUGGACAAUACUUUUAUGAUCUGAUCUCAAAUCAGGUAGGACUACCCGCUGAACUUAAGC